rnacentral:rRNA from 1 species
GAUGAACGCUGGCGGCGUGCCUAAUACAUGCAAGUCGAGCGAACGGACGAGAAGCUUGCUUCUCUGAUGUUAGCGGCGGACGGGUGAGUAACACGUGGAUAACCUACCUAUAAGACUGGGAUAACUUCGGGAAACCGGAUCUAAUACCGGAUGAUAUUUUGAACCGCAUGGUUCAAAAGUGAAAGACGGUCUUGCUGUCACUUAUAGAUGGAUCCGCGCUGCAUUAGCUAGUUGGUAAGGUAACGGCUUACCAAGGCAACGAUGCAUAGCCGACCUGAGAGGGUGAUCGGCCACACGGGAACUGAGACACGGUCCAGACUCCUACGGGAGGCAGCAGUAGGGAAUCUUCCGCAAUGGGCGAAAGCCUGACGGAGCAACGCCGCGUGAGUGAUGAAGGUCUUCGGAUCGUAAAACUCUGUUAUUAGGGAAGAACAUAUGUGUAAGUAACUGUGCACAUCUUGACGGUACCUAAUCAGAAAGCCACGGCUAACUACGUG